AUAUUACUAAGAAUUUUAUUUUCAGAUUUUUAAAUCAGAUUGCCUUCACCUUUGCUAUUUAAAUCUUUUGUUGUAUAAAAUAAAGUGAACUCUGUAACAUUGAAUAUUCAGAAAUGGUUUUCAUAUAUGCUUUGAGACUAAGACUGAUAGGCAUUAAAUAACUGCAAUGUAUAGAAUUGUAAAUGGUGAUAUUUACCUACGUAUUUUAUAGAAUAUGUUGUCUUCUUUGUCAUUGAGGCUGUUGAGUGAAAUGAUAUCUUAGUAAUGAAUAGGGAAGUAAUAUAUAAAUAUAAAUAAUUGAGGACAGUCACUAAACCUGAUAUUGACCUAUGUUUAAUCUUUCUGUUGCUACUAUCCAACUCUGACUGAAAGGUUAAUGAGCAGAAUAAUUUACUAUUGCUACUAAGAGUGUAUUUUCAGUUGUUACCUUGCUGUAAUGACUCACAGAAUUAGGUCUCUCUGUUUUAAUUUUUCCCCAGAUAGCACAGUGAUGGACUUCUAUGUGGUGGAAGGUACAGUUCAGCUUAAAUGGCCUUAAAUUUCUUCAUUUUGAAGAUGCUUGGUCUAUCAUUUUCAGAUGGUUAUAUCUAGACCCAAAGUGUAUGUGUCCACUCAGGUGCCCAAGGCGGGAAGUAAACGUCAGUGGCGUGCAGGACGUACUCCGGAGGUGUUGUGAUCUCAGGCGCUUCUCUGAAUAGAAGAUAAGAAGAACUAAAACUGGAAGAUGGAAGGAGAAAUAAAAGCAGCAUGCACAUUGGACAGUCAGAUCUUUAGUAACUGAGAUUUGGCUAAAGACUUAAGAUGGGUUGGCGCAAAGAAAUGUCAUAUUCCAAUCACGACAUGAGAAAUGGUUGGAUUCCCUGUCCUACUAGGAGAUUCUCGACUGACAUUUUAUCGUGUUAUUGUGUUCCACGCUAUUUAGUUCCUCCUGGAUUCUUCCGAAUUUCACAUGCACUGCUGCAAUCAGCUCCUGCAGAGCGGAUAACAUACCUAGGGACCCAGGUCUUCCUGGACAAGCAGCCAGUCAUGAACAGGGGCAGACUUGGCCUUAAAGUUUAAUUCUGAUAUUUUUUUGCAUUUCAAAGUAUAGAUAUUCAUUUUAUCUAUUAAAAAGUAAAACCCAGUAAGUGUACUGUAGGGAAUGUUUAUCUUACAAAGGAAGGGUCAUGUAGAGAUGAGCCCACCUGCUGGUUUUACUUUCCUUUUCCAGUAAUGUUUAUAUUGUAACUUAAACAUUUUUCUGGCUCUAAAAAUUAGGUAUGCCUUUGUUUUCUAGUGCAUAUCUCUGUUAUGUAAACCUGCUUGUAUACAUAUGAAGAAAACCAAUUUGAAACAUUUCUGUUUAUGCACAAAGUAUACCUUAAUGAUGUCUUUGGCAGAGGGUAAGAACCUCACCUUAACAAGGGAAGUAGAAAUGAUGGAUUUGCUUACGGAGCUUUAAAUAAUGUAGCUGUAAAUUGGGAAUUUAGUCUGUAUGUCAGAAAGAUACAGCCAACUCUGCCAUCAGUUUAAAAGAAAAAUAAGAUUUUGGUGAAAUCUUGUCUAAGUGGCUUUAACACUAUUAGAGAAUUUAAAAAACUGUUAAAAUAAAUCAGACUGUUUUAGAAUAGCAACAUAAAGUUGGGGUUACUGUUUCAGAUGUAUAUUCAUGUAAAAAUUAGGUUUCAGUAUUGGCACUUAGGUGACGAAAAUAUGGUAUGUUUGUAUUUUAAUGAAGCACUGGCAGUAUAUAAAACGUUAAUUUUUAAAUCAGUGAGCCAGAAUUUCAUUGUGGAUAUGGAAAAAGAGAUUGUCAUUUUACAAACUGCAAGAAUAAAUAUAUGUGUUUUAAAUACCAAAGUAUUCAGUUUUAAAUUCUUACUUCAUUUUGAAAACAUGUAAGAACUAAAUUAGACUUUUAAUUAGUGGUUAAUAGCAGUGAAUAAAUAAACCUGUCUAAAAAUUAAUGAAUGUAGAAUAAGACUUCUGACACUUUAAAUUUCUGUAUGAGGAAGAUAGUUUGUUAUCAAGGAACAUAGUGUAUUUUGUGUUGAUCAUUGCUGUUUUAAAAAUGUAUGUUCUAUGAUUACAUUGUUUCCCUUACCUCAGGCUGAAUUUGAGUUGAUGUCUUCUUAACAUGAUUGGGUUAGUAACCAGUGGCAUUUAAUUUUUGUAAUGCAAAACUUAAGGCUUUAGGUGUUCCCAAUAAAACUUUUAUAUAAGCCUCUUGAAAUUGUUUUGUUUCGAUUUUAGUUUAAACCCAUUUUUAUCCUGCUUUAUUGCACUCCCUUUCACUAGUAGAGUAGCCACACUCCCUCCUUUUUUUUAAUGCAGUUUAUACAAAAAGUAAUUUUUCUUAUUGUCAUCUAUUUUUUUUUUUUUUUGACAUUUAGAAACCAAAUACCAUAUGCCCUUUUCCUACCUUCGUAUUAAGAAGCAAGAAGACUGUUACAUGAAUAGAUUAAAUUUAGGGCAUUUUCUAUCAUAUAUGCUAUAUUAUUGCACAAUUUCUAUAGUACUUUGUGUUUCUUUCUCCCAAAGAAGAAAAGAAAUUUAGUUAUGUAACAUAAAUUAAAUUUGUAUAAACCCUACUUGGGCAUUUGUGGUAUUGCAAAAGUGAAAUUGUUUCAUCAUGGUUCAAAUAAGAAGUAACAAUAUUUCUUUUGGUGAGAAUAGCUUACGUUUAGAAUCUGCCAGAAAAUUGAGUCUUAAGCUGUUUUUACAAAUAAAGAAUAUAAUGCUGUAUAGAAACCUGAAUUUUAAAAAAUAGGCUCAUUCUAUUUUAGCCAAAUAUCUUAGUUUUUUGUUAGUUUUAAAAACUUUCUAGAAAAGGAUAGAAUAUAAGCAUUAUACUUAAUAAAAAUUCUAAAGCAUGAUUUAAUAGUAUAAAAUGACUUUAGUUAUUUCUUAAUUUAUCAUGAAUACUGGCUAAAUUUUAAAAGUUUAUUUCUGUGUUGUGUAAAAUUUUACAGUAUUGAAAGUUACUUUUUAAAAGAAAUGUUCCAGCAACAUUUAAAAAACUUUUAACAAAGUCUUCUAUGGAUGAAUGGCAAUCAGUAUCAGUUUUAAAAUUCUUUUGCAGUGUAACCAAAGUAAUUUUCUUCUGCUCAGUACAACAUUUAAAAUAAAGUUUAUGCACUG